AUGCAGUGUUGUAGCAUUACCUAUUCCAUGUGUCUUUUCUGGACUUCCUCAGCUCUGGCAGAAAGCAAAAUGAAUCAACUCCAACUUUUCAAAAGUGCCUUCUGUUUGUUCUUUCUCUCUGUCUGUCUCUCUCUGUGUCUCUCUCUGUGUCUCUGUUUCUCUCUGUCUCUGUCUCUCUCCUCUCUCUCUGUCUCUGUCUCUCUGUCUCUCUGUCUCUCUCUGUCUGUCUGUCUCUCUGUCUCUCUCUGUCUCUCUCUGUCUCUCUCUCUCUGUCUCUGUCUCUGUCUCUGUCUCUCUCUCUCUCUCUCUCUCUCUCUCUCUCUCUCUCUCUCUCUCUCUCUCUCUCUCUCUCUCUCUCUCUCUCUCUCUCCUCUCUCCUCUCUCCUCUCUCCCCCCUCUCUCCUCUCUCCCCAGCAGGGGUCUAGGUCAAGCUCAGCUAGCUCUUGUUCACAGGGAGGCGAGCUGGGCCACCUGGCUUGGAUUUGGCUUCCUCGUCUCCUGGAGCUAAUUGGAGCAAUCCUGAGCACCCGGCACUGAUCCCUGGCCCAGGUGGGACAGGAGCUGCCUGGGGCAGUUUCUCACCUGCUGGCCCGCCAAAUCUGCUCCUGAUUCUAGGCCAGGGAGCCCAUAAGCACACAGCAGGCACUUAAUAAAUGCUCUUUGACCGCCGGCUAAGAUCCCA
rnacentral:lncRNA from 1 species